rnacentral:rRNA from 1 species
GAGUUUGAUCAUGGCUCAGAAUGAACGCUGGCGGCGUGCUUAACACAUGCAAGUCGAGCGAGAAAGUCCUUUCGGGGACAAGUAUAGCGGCGGACGAGUGAGUAAUAUGCGAGAACCUACCCUUUAGUGAAGAAUACCCUUGAGAAAUUGAGGUUAAUACUGCAUGAGUCCCUGCGGGGAGAAAGGCAACUUUAUGUUGUCGCUGAAGGAUGGGCUUGCACGCUAUCAGCUAGUUGGUGAGGUAACGGCUCACCAAGGCUAUGACGGCUAACCGGCCUGAGAGGGUGUACGGUCACGUUGGAACUGAGAUACGGUCCAAACUCCUACGGGAGGCAGCAGUGAGGAAUAUUGCACAAUGGGCGAAAGCCUGAUGCAGCGACGCCGCGUGGAGGAUGAAGGUCUUCGGAUUGUAAACUCCUGUCAAAUGGGAAGAAAGACCCAUCUAUAAUAUAGAUGGGGGAUGACGGUACCAUUAGAGGAAGCA